rnacentral:rRNA from 1 species
CCUACGGGAGGCAGCAGUGGGGAAUAUUGCACAAUGGGGGCAACCCUGAUGCAGCGACGCCGCGUGAGUGAAGAAGUAUCUCGGUACGUAAAGCUCUAUCAGCAGGGAAGAAAAAUGACGGUACCUGACUAAGAAGCCCCGGCUAACUACGUGCCAGCAGCCGCGGUAAUACGGAGGGGGCAAGCGUUAUCCGGAUUUACUGGGUGUAAAGGGAGCGUAGACGGCAGCACAAGUCUGGAGUGAAAUCCCGGGGCUCAACCCCGGAACUGCUUCCAAGACUGACGGACUUGAGUGUAAGAGGGGUAAGCGGAAUUCCUAGUGUAGCGGUGGAAUGCGUAGAUAUUAGGAGGAACACCAGUGGCGAAGGCGGCUUACUGGAUUAUAACUGACGCUGAGGCUCGAAAGCGUGGGUAGCAAACAGGAUUAGAUACCCUUGUAGUC